AAGCAUUUGUUUCCGGUCGUUGGUUAUAAAUAGUUGUUGGCUUAUUAAAAAGGGCAGUCUUCUGAUAUCAACGGCACAGACUAGAAGUCGAAAAAGAAGUUGUAAUAGUAAAGUUGAAGUAAGUUGUGUGAAGUGGAGGAUAUCAAGUGUGAAUAAAGUUAUUUGUAACAACUGGAUUUUGUUAUUUCACUACAAGUCAGAAGUGCGAUCAGGACCCAAGUUAAGGUAUGAAAAAAAAAAAAUUUAUGACCAUAAGUUUUUAGGAUUUUUGGUUCUUCAUAAUGGAUUUUAUAUAUGAUUUUGAAUUGGAUGUUUUCUAUAAAGUUACUUUAGAUAAAUAAUUUUUCAGUUUUUAUUAUAGAUUACCCACAUAUAUGUAACAUUUUAUUGGGUUAUGAAUUUUACUAAGUAUUAAAGAUUAUUAAAAUGAAGUGAUAUUAGAAUUAUUAUGUAUGCUCCAGCAAUAAUUUUACGUGUAUUUAGAAGCCAAGUGUGCUUAUCGAUAGAGGUCAUGUGUACCUAGCGAGCCAUGUGAGCUCUAGUUAUUUAGGAAGCCAAGUGUGCUUAUCGAUAGAGGUCAUGUGUACCUGGUGAGCCAUGUGAGCUCUAGUUAUUUAGAAGCCAAGUGUGCUUAUCAACAGAGGUCAUGUGUACCUAGCGAGCCACGUGAGCUCUAGUUAUUUAGAAGCCAAGUGUGCUUAUCGAUAGAGGUCAUGUGUACCUAGCGAGCCAUGUGAGCUCUAGUUAUUUAGGAAGCCAAGUGUGCUUAUCGACAGAGGUCAUGUGUACCUAGCGAGCCAAGUGAGCUCUAGUUAUUUAGGAAGCCAAGUGUGCUUAUCGACAGAGGUCAUGUGUACCUAGCGAGCCAUGUGAGCUCUAAUUAUUUAGAAGCCAAGUGUGCUUAUCGAUAUAUCAAUAACAAGCUAAAUCUAUCAAAUUAAAUGAAAUCUUAGGAGGAUUUAUGUGUAUAGAAAAAUAUUUUACGUACAUCUUUUAUUUAGUUUUUAUUUUAAUGAUAUGAAUCUAAUAUUGAUUUUUUUUGUGGCAAUGAACUCCGACAAAGUGAUGACUCCUAAGGAGGAGCGCCAAGGUCAAGGAGAAAUCAAAGGAAGCGAAAUUCCGCGACUAAGACCGAUAAGGUGUGGUCUGGGACUAAAUCAAAGAGGAGACGGCGGGCUGGCGCCCAGCCCGUCCGCGUUCAGCAGUGAAUAUUAGAGUGACGACAGGUCAGAUGAAAAAGAACUUGCAAUUGGUCCACAAAAGAGGUAUUGCAACUAUUUGAUACCCUACAAAAAAAAAUAUACGUCACAUAAGGUAAUAUAAUUGUUAUAAUAUAAUUGUCAUGUUGGUAUUCGGUCCGGCUAGUAAAUCUCAAAUUAUUUAUAGUGGUAUUAAGAAAGUACAUGAAUAUGCUGCCAUUUACGAAUGAAAUAAGAAGCAGACCAUACAUUUUACUUUACAAAAACUUUCUGGUUAGGCAAAGAGGUAGUUUGAUCCUCUUCCAAGCGUUAAGAGGGCGUUUCCUAACGAGUAAAAUUAUGGUCAGCUUCUUGAAGAAAUGUUAGCCCGAAUCACUAGGAAUAAUGAAAAUUUACACGAAUAUUUUACGAUAAGGUAUUUUAUUUUAAUAGCUGUGAAAUGAGAGGUAAAAGGCCGUA
rnacentral:misc_RNA from 1 species